rnacentral:rRNA from 1 species
AGAGUUUGAUCCUGGCUCAGAUUGAACGCUGGCGGCAUGCUUUACACAUGCAAGUCGAACGGCAGCACGGGCUUCGGCCUGGUGGCGAGUGGCGAACGGGUGAGUAAUGCAUCGGAACGUGCCCAUGUCGUGGGGGAUAACGUAGCGAAAGCUACGCUAAUACCGCAUACGCCCUGAGGGGGAAAGCGGGGGAUUCUUCGGAACCUCGCGCGAUUGGAGCGGCCGAUGUCGGAUUAGCUAGUAGGUGAGGUAAAGGCUCACCUAGGCGACGAUCCGUAGCGGGUCUGAGAGGAUGAUCCGCCACACUGGGACUGAGACACGGCCCAGACUCCUACGGGAGGCAGCAGUGGGGAAUUUUGGACAAUGGGGGCAACCCUGAUCCAGCCAUGCCGCGUGAGUGAAGAAGGCCUUCGGGUUGUAAAGCUCUUUCGGCCGGGAAGAAAUCGGCGACUCUAACAUAGUCGCUGGAUGACGGUACCGGACUAAGAAGCACCGGCUAACUACGUGCCAGCAGCCGCGGUAAUACGUAGGGUGCGAGCGUUAAUCGGAAUUACUGGGCGUAAAGCGUGCGCAGGCGGUUUUGUAAGACAGAUGUGAAAUCCCCGGGCUUAACCUGGGAACUGCGUUUGUGACUGCAAGGCUAGAGUACGGCAGAGGGGGGUGGAAUUCCACGUGUAGCAGUGAAAUGCGUAGAGAUGUGGAGGAACACCGAUGGCGAAGGCAGCCCCCUGGGCCUGUACUGACGCUCAUGCACGAAAGCGUGGGGAGCAAACUGGAUUAAAAUACCCUGGUAGUCCACGCCCUAAACGAUGUCGACUAGUCGUUCGGAGCAGCAAUGCCACUGAAGUGACGCAGCUAACCCGUGAAGUCGACCGCCU